ensembl:lncRNA
GGGGAGCCCCUGCCCUGGUGUGAGCCUGCAUCAGCUUCAGCUCAGCACUGGGCUGGGAAGUGCAGGUUUGCCACAUCUUCCAUUUCUCUCUCUGGUCAGGAAUUGCUGUUUGACUUCAGCAAAACAUUGGAACAGAUCCCCUGCUCUCCUGCCUCACGUUUAUACCCCAUGACACCACCCUCCAAGGUGCCGUGCACGGCACAGAGAUCCCCAGCCCCUGCGAGGCUGGCUGAACAUCACCUGCUGUCCCUUCUGGGCAGAAGGAGAGGGCCACACUGCACCUGCAAGAUUUCCAGGUGUGCCUGUAGGCAGAAGGAUGGAAUUCCACAGGUCCCUGCUGUGAGACAGCAUCUGAGACUGCUCUGCAGGGCUGGGCAGGAGAGUCCAUUUGUGAGAGUGCCAGGAAGGGUAUUAGAUUGCUCUUGGCUGGGGCUGUCCCUCGGUGCUGCUAUCCUGUGUCUGUGCCAUCAGAGUGAAGAAGCCUCCUCUUGUAAAUGCUGACCUCAAGCUGUGCAGCAAAUCCUGGUGCCAGCCAAACCUGUGUUGGGUCGCUUGCAGCACUGUGUUCUUCUCACUGUGAUGCUGCUGUAUUGCUUCACCACAAGCACCAAAGGCUGUGAGAUGCUUUCCUUAGGGACUCAAUUCCAGGUACAGUGCAGCAUCUGGCCAAAUUUUUUUAUUGCUUGUUCUCACUCCUCGCAUUUCAAAAGCAGCAAAGUUUGCUGUUACAUGUUUUGCCAUGUUUUUGCUUCAGGGCCUCCUUAAUCUUUGUGUUUUCCUUUCUCUGUUAAUCUCAGGAUUAAGGAAAAGCUGUGAAAGUAUGAUUUGAGCUUUUAGAAAUAUUUUCUGCUUUAAAAUUAAAGAAAUUAACCUGUAAUGAGCAAUCCUUUUUAUUUAGAACUGAAUUAAUGAGUUCCCACUGAAGAUGGGCAUGUUGGGCAUUAAUAAAUGUAUAAUUAUGCAAAACCACUGUUAUGCCUCUAAUGAAAAUUAGAUUCUACCAGGGAGGCUGUGUUUGGCGAUAGUGUAUAUCUUCAUUUGUGCUAUAUUUAUUCUUUUUUCCUAGCUGCAUGACCUAGGAUUACAGUUGCUAUGGCAAUAAGGCAGUUAGUGAAGGAAGGAGUGAAAGGUAAGUUUGUGUGUCUGCCUGUGCUGCGGGGGUGGCAAGGAGGGGGGCUGGCAAUCUCUGUCCCCUGUGCUGGGUCUGCCUCCUGCUACUGCCACUGAAGAGCUCCAUGGCACCAGUGAUGGCCAUUUCUCAAUAACCCAGGGAUGGGUGCUCAAGCAGCAGAGCAAACCAGGCUGGUUUUUUAGCUCCCAGCAGCGUGUGUCCAUAACCAGGCCCUGGAGCUGCUGUGCUGGGACUGUUUUAGUGGGGUGGGGGAGCUGAUCCUUUGUGUGCAUCUUUGCCACUGGCCUUACAGGGGUUUAAAGGUGGAUUCUGGGGCUGCUGAGAGCUAGAGCAAAACCCUCCAGCUACCCUUCUGUAUUUGCUUACUGCAUUUGUGAUCUUGUGUGCCCUGGGCUUGGGGCUGGAGGUGCUGAGCACAUUUAGAAGAUGUGUAGCUGUGGUGAAUUUGGCAGUGCUGGGUUAACAGCUGGCCUCGAUGAUCUUAAAGCUCCUUUCCAACCUAAGUGACUCUUUGGCUCCAUGAGUGGCAGCUUUGUGUCCCUUCAGCUGAGUUACAUCACCAGCCCUUCUCCUGGGGUUUGUUUUGUGGUGCUUGCUGCAGGAGUCUCGGCAUUGCCCAGGCUCAGGAGUGCAGGGGUUCUUUCAACAGGUGAUUGAUAGUGGGGGAGAGUCUGUCCUUUCUUUGGUGACAGGGAACACGUUUCCCUGAAAGCUGCCCAAAGCUCUGUGUCUCUCUCAGCCUCAGCUUGCCCUGUGUGUGUGGGAAGGGCUUCCCUGGCUUCCUGACUGCCCCUCCCAUCCUGCUCUCUCUUUCUCUUCACCCCUCCAUCAGAGCUGCCAUCACCAUUUGCUUUAAGCUCCUGGAAUGGAAUGCUUACCAUGGAAACUC